GAUGAACGCUAGCGAUAGGCUUAACACAUGCAAGUCGAGGGGCAGCACAAGGUAGCUUGCUAUCUGGGUGGCGACCGGCGCACGGGUGCGUAACGCGUAUGCAACUUGCCCUAUACAGGAGGAUAACCCGUCGAAAGACGGACUAAUACUGCGUAUGCUCACAACUUGGCAUCAAGUGGUGAGGAAAGAAAUUCGGUAUAGGAUAGGCAUGCGUCCCAUUAGCUUGUUGGUGAGGUAACGGCUCACCAAGGCAACGAUGGGUAGGGGAACUGAGAGGUUUAUCCCCCACACUGGUACUGAGACACGGACCAGACUCCGACGGGAGGCAGCAGUGAGGAAUAUUGGUCAAUGGGCGCGAGCCUGAACCAGCCAAGUCGCGUGAAGGAUGACUGUCUUAUGGAUUGUAAACUUCUUUUAUACGGGAAUAACAAGAGUCACGUGUGACUCCCUGCAUGUACCGUAUGAAUAAGCAUCGGCUAACUCCGUG
rnacentral:rRNA from 1 species